rnacentral:lncRNA from 1 species
GCUGAGGGCAGAGCUGUUUGCCUGGCAGAGGAGGAGCAAACAGCCAUGUUGUAAAUGGCCUCUGAGGAGGACUGGCCUCUAGGAGUUGAGGACCUCAAGCCUACAUCUGCAAGGAAUUGAACGAUGCCAAGAACCCGAACAAACUCUGAAGAUGAGAAUGCGGCCCUGUGCCAAGACUGGCUGCCUUCCCCUGUUUCUGUACCACACUGGUUCCUGAAGCUAUUUGAGUUUGAGACUGCUGGGGUAACCUGACCCACUUCAAGGAUCUGAAAGUAUUUUACAGUUGGUUGAAUCCAUGGAUGUGGAACCCAUGGAUGUGAAGGACUGACUGUACUUUGCACUAGUGGUUCUCAAAGUGUGGGCCCUGGACCAGUGGCAGCAGCAUCACCUGGGAACUUGUGAGAAAUGCACUUUUCAGCUCCUGUUUCAGAUGGACCUAUCAGAAUCUCUGCAGGAACAUUUUGAAGUCCCCUCAUAUACAAUGAAAUGAUAGAUUUGUCAACACAGAUAAAUCUCAAAAACACAAUAAGUGAAGAAAGUAAGUUGCAGAUGGAAAUAAUAUGUGAUGGUCAAACAAUCUAGAUGUUUCCGUGAAGGUGUUUUUGGAUGAGACUAACAUUGACAUUGGUGGACUUUGAGUAAAGCAGGUUGCCUGCGUGCCAUAAUGUGGGUAUUCUCAUCCAAUCAGUUGCGGGAUUUAACAGAGCAAAGACUGAGGUCCCCUGAGAAAAUAGGAUUCCACCAGCAGACAGCCUUCAGCCUUGAACUGCAGUGUCACCUCUUCACUGGGCCUCCCAACCUGCUGACACUUUGAUCUUGGACUUCUAGCCUCCAUAACUGUGUGAGCCAAUUCCCUAAAAUAAAUCUCUCUCUGUACACAUUCUAUGGUUAUGUUUCUGGCAAGAGUGGUGGGCUCUGUGCGUCCUGAUGGUGGCAGCAGAGACCAGCUUGGGAGCCACCUGGCUCCUCUGCCCUAGCCCAUUAUGGCCUGAAUCCAAUCAAUUUCAGUUCUCAGCACUUCUGAAAACGUGCGUGGCUUAGAGUGUCUGGCAGGGCUCAGGAGAGAAAAGCAUUUCUCAGCCCCGGGACACAUAUAUGCCUCCAGGCACUGGUUGUGGCUUGCAAUCUGGGAGGGCAGGUGAACGGACACCCUCCCUCCUUGCACAGGCCUGGGAUCUGCCUUACUCAACUCCCACUUCUACCAGGAGCAGAGGAUCACCGCUGCCCAGCACCCCGCCCAUCUGAAUUCUGACUCUGGUGGCUUCAGAGAAGCAAGCAGAAGCAGUUUGCCCAGCCCUGACAUGGAAAGUUUACUUUGCUCAUCAACCUGAAGGAGACCGAAAGCUAUGAGAGGCGGCUCCUGAAAAGAAUCUAGACUCCGGAUAUAAAAAGAUCUUGCAACACAAGGCCAAGUGGAAAUCAUGGAGAAGAGAGACAGAAGGAGAGAAGAGGGGCAGGAGGAGAGAAAACACAAGAAAGAGGAUGGAAGAUAAAGAGGAAGAAGAGGAGAUUAGGACACACAGACAUCUGGAGCACGUGUGCACAGAGGGAUGAUCAUGUGAGGACACGGCAGCUAGAGGACGCCAUCUGCAAGCCAAGGAGAGAGGACUCGGGGGACUCCAACCCUAUUGGCGCCUUGAAUUUAGACUUCCAUCCUCCUCAAAUGUGAGGAAGUACAUUUCUGUCUGUGGUAUUGUGUUAUGGAAGCCCUAGCAAAGGGCUCUGUAUGACAUAUUUGGUGUUCUUUUAACAACCCAGUAAAUUAAAUUCAU